AGUGGCAAACGGGUGAGUAUAAUGUGGGAAUCUGCCUUUUGGUCUGGAAUAACACGGGGAAACCUGUGCUAAUACCGGAUAAGCCUUCACAGGGAAAGUUUUAAUGCCAAAAGAUGAGCCCGCACUUGAUUAGCUAGUUGGUAAGGUAAUAGCUUACCAAGGCUACGAUCAAUAGCUGUUCUUAGAGGAAGACCAGCCACAUUGGGACUGAGACACGGCCCAAACUCCUACGGGAGGCAGCAGUGGGGAAUCUUGCACAAUGGGGGAAACCCUGAUGCAGCGAUGCCGCGUGAGUGAAGAAGGCCUUUGGGUUGUAAAACUCUUUCGUCGGGGAAGAAAAUGACUGUACCCGAAUAAGAAGGUCCGGCUAACUUCGUGCCAGCAGCCGCGGUAAUACGAAGGGACCUAGCGUAGUUCGGAAUUACUGGGCUUAAAGAGUUCGUAGGUGGUUAAAAAAGUUGAUGGUGAAAUCCCAAGGCUCAACCUUGGAACUGCCAUCAAAACUUUUUAGCUAGAGUAUGAUAGAGGAAAGUGGAAUUUCUAGUGUAGAGGUGAAAUUCGUAGAUAUUAGAAAGAACAUCAAAUGCGAAGGCAACUUUCUGGAUCAUUACUGACACUGAUGAACGAAAGCAUGUGUAGCGAGAGGAAUAGAUACCCUCGUAGUCCAUGCCGA
rnacentral:rRNA from 1 species